ACAUGAACAUCUCAUCCUUAUAUACAGGUCUCUGUUUGCAGUCAAAUUUCUUUACGCGAAAGAGAGCAUGAUGCUCGUGAUUUUGCACAUCCCAUGUGAUGUAACUGGUAACAAUGACUAGCACGCGGUAAAUGGUUGCGUGAGAGGGUCGCUUGCGCGUGCUGGCAGCAUAUGGCAGCAGUUCGAUUGUGCGUCAAGAAUUCAGCAUAGCAAGUUUUUGUGAAUGUCUGGUUAUUAAAUAGGUAAAUAGUUUAAUCCAUUUCAUGAAUUUAUUCACAGGUAACGCUCUCGUGACAAACACACUUUGUUGCCCUGUUUCCAAUCGUCCACAUGUCUGGGAGAACGUAUUAAUAUACAGAGAGCUGUGAAAGCCUGUCUGCAGAUGAAGAGGUCCCAAUGAAGAGCAGUGGUUCUCAGUCCUGGUCCUGGGGACUGGACCUGUUUUUGCCUUAGCUCUGAUUCAAAUGAUCAAGUCAUCAUCAAGCUUCAAGUGAGAUACCUUGUAACUGGAGAUUCCUUCAAAAUGAUUGCCUACAGUUACCGUGUAGGGCACUGCAAGGUUGGGUGACCAGGGCCAUCUGGGACUGCCUCCUGGAGGAAUUCAGGCGUUUGAAGGCUACCUGUGUCGUGCAUAACUUUAUGAGGAUGGACACGAGGACCAGGAGGGGGAUCUGCAGCUCGCCACCGUGUGCCAGAGGAGAGGUCUGCUGCUCUACAGUAUGUUUCAAUGAUUGGGGCCAACAACGCAGCAUGGGAGGAAAUCCGUGUGCGGGAUAUCUUCACCUCCUACUUCUUCAGAGGGUGCUGUUCCCUGGCAAAACCAUAGACUACAAUGCACAACCAAAGGCUAUUUUAAGAGCCAUCCACAUUGCAAUAAGAGUAUUCUUCCAUUUACUUAGCUAUGUCAACUGCAGUUUUUAAAUUCCCAGUUUCUCUCCUUUUGAUUUCUGCUUCUCAGGUGAGGGUGCUGUUCAGGUAAGGGUGAUGUCUGCACAAAACCAAA